rnacentral:rRNA from 1 species
GGGUGUGAUCAUACCAGCAUUAAUGCGCCGGAUCCCAUCAGAACUCUGCAGUUAAGCGUGCUUGGGCCAGGGUAGUACUGAAAUGGGUGACCUCCAGAGAAGUCAUAGUGUUGCACCCU